AGAGUUUGAUCCUGGCUCAGGACGAACGCUGGCGGCAUGCCUAACACAUGCAAGUCGAACGGAGCCAUGGUAUGGAUCUCUUCGGAGUGACGUACCGGAAGCUUAGUGGCAGACGGGUGAGUAACACGUGAGCAACCUGCCCUAUAGAGGGGAAUAACACACCGAAAGGUGUGCUAAUACCGCAUAAGUAUGUUUAUCGCAUGGUAGAUAUAUGAAAGAUUUAUCGCUAUAGGAUGGGCUCGCGGCUGAUUAGUUAGUUGGUGGGGUAACGGCCUACCAAGACGACGAUCAGUAGCCGGACUGAGAGGUUGAACGGCCACAUUGGGACUGAGACACGGCCCAGACUCCUACGGGAGGCAGCAGUGGGGGAUAUUGCGCAAUGGGGGAAACCCUGACGCAGCAAUGCCGCGUGAAGGAAGAAGGUCUUCGGAUUGUAAACUUUUGUCUUUGGUGACGAAGAAUGACGGUAGCCAAGGAGGAAGCUCCGGCUAACUACGUGCCAGCAGCCGCGGUAAUACGUAGGGAGCGAGCGUUGUCCGGAUUUACUGGGUGUAAAGGGCGCGUAGGCGGGCCUGCAAGUCAGAUGUGAAAUACCGGGGCUUAACCCCGGGGCUGCAUUUGAAACUGUGGGUCUUGAGUGCGGGAGAGGAAAGCGGAAUUCCUAGUGUAGCGGUGAAAUGCGUAGAUAUUAGGAGGAACACCGGUGGCGAAGGCGGCUUUCUGGACCGUAACUGACGCUGAGGCGCGAAAGUGUGGGGAGCAAACAGGAUUAGAUACCCUGGUAGUCCACACCGUAAACGAUGGAUACUAGGUGUAGGGGGUAUCGACCCCCCCUGUGCCGCAGCUAACGCAAUAAGUAUCCCACCUGGGGAGUACGGCCGCAAGGCUGAAACUCAAAGGAAU
rnacentral:rRNA from 1 species